AAACGUCUCCAUCCAUCACGCCGGCCGGGUUUCCACUGCAGCGUUAUUGACAGUAAAUUAAAGAAGGCGGCUGACGGGUCGGAGGCAUCAAGAGGAAGCUCGGCCAUAGCAGGAGGAAGAGGAGGAUGGGAGAUGCCCGGGACGCCGAAGAAAAACACGACCAAGUCCAAUUUGCACGGGGAGGAAGUGAAAGGGCCGUCUCAAAGAAAUGGUGUGAGGAAGUUCAAAAGUAGAAAUCAAAACACUGAUAUGCCGGCGGCAUCACGGGGUGUCAGGACCAGGAUGCCAGACAGGACCAGACAGGUGAAGUGAAAACCUCCAGCAGCACAGAGUCUCUGAUUCUCAGCCUUGAAGUCUUCUCGGCCUAAAAGUAACGACGUCACCAGUUUCAUUAAAUGUCUCAGUAUUGCGGCGCUAUCGGCGCCGCUUUCUGAACCCAAUACUUUUGGGGUUAUUUAGGUUUUUAAGUUAGUGAGGGCUGCGUCCACACAAGCUACAUGUAGCACCUCGCUCUCUGAGCUGUAAGCGUGGCGGCUCGGCCAAAACACACAUGUAA